CGUUUCGUCCGCUCGAUUUCCAACUGUCCCAACUCCAAGACGGCGACCGUCCACUGGAUUAGUACCGCGUUACUAAACGUUUCCCACGGAAAAAUGUCUCGCUCGAAAACGCCUGGAUUUCAUAACACGGAGAUCCGAUGGCUUUUUUUUCAAAUUCGGUUUGAUCAGUUGUUUUCAUUGUUCAAACGCGAUAAUCGCAUUUCAGGAGUAACGAUAAUUUCGAUAAUCGGGCAGACUGUUCGACUUUAGAGCCUCUCUCUUGUGUAAACUUCCAGUAUCUAGUUACAUUACUGUUUUAUCGAUUUUUUUUUUUUUUUUUUUUUUUUUUUUAUAUGCUUCUCGGUCCCGUUACGACGAUCUGAUCUCAUUGCCCGGGCGCUGCACUCACUGCACCCAUCAGGCUCGUCGAUUUUAAUACGAUUACGUCGUCGUUGACCGAAACUCAUUAGUCGAUAAAAAAAAAAAAAAAAAUGUUUUUUUCCGUACAAUGAUCCGUGACAAAACCCGAGUACAAUAAUUAUUAACGUGUAUUUAGUUUUAUUCGGGGAUUCGAUGGCUGGUUUAAAACGCGAACGAUUUUUCGAAAAUAUCUUUUCAAUUUUACCGACGACGACGAAAGUGGAACGGUUUGUUGUUUUAGGAUAAACGGAACUGCCGUAUGGUUAUUAUUCCUAUAAAAUCAAAAUAAAAAAAGA